CCUACGGGUGGCAGCAGUGAGGAAUAUUGGUCAAUGGGCUGACGCCUGAACCAGCCAAGUCGCGUGAGGGAAGACGGCCCUAUGGGUUGUAAACCUCUUUUGUCAGGGAGCAACGCAGGCUACGUGUAGCCGGACUGAGAGUACCUGAAGAAAAAGCAGCGGCAAACUCAGUGCCAGCAGCCGCGGUAAUACGGAGGAUGCGAGCUUAAUCCGGUUUGAUUGGGUGUAAAGGGUGCGUAGGCGGAAUGCCAAGUCAGCGGUAAAAUCGCGGGGCUCAACCUCGCUCCGCCGUUGAAACUGGCGUUCUUGAGUGGUCGAGAAGUAUGCGGAAUGCGUGGUGUAGCGGUGAAAUUCAUAGAUAUCACGCAGAACUCCGAUUGCGAAGGCAGCAUACCGGCGCCCUACUGACGCUGAAGCACGAAAGCGUGGGUAUCGAACAGGAUUAGAUACCCCGGUAGUC
rnacentral:rRNA from 1 species